rnacentral:tRNA from 1 species
AAGGAUUUAAGUUAAAUAAACUAAUAGCCUUCAAAGCUAUCAUUAGAGAAAUCUCUAAGCCUUA